rnacentral:rRNA from 1 species
CCUACGGGAGACAGCAGUGAGGAAUAUUGGUCAAUGGGCGGGAGCCUGAACCAGCCAAGUCGCGUGAGGGAAGACGGUCCUAUGGAUUGUAAACCUCUUUAGGCGGGGAGCAAUGCCGGGCACGCGUGCCCGGAGGGAGAGUACCCGCAGAAUAAGCAUCGGCUAACUCCGUGCCAGCAGCCGCGGUAAUACGGAGGAUGCGAGCGUUAUCCGGAUUUAGUGGGUUUAAAGGGUGCGUAGGCGGAUUUUUAAGUCAGCGGUAAAAUGUCCGGGCUCAACCCGGGCCGGCCGUUGAAACUGGGGAUCUUGAGUGGGCGAGAAGUAUGCGGAAUGCGUGGUGUAGCGGUGAAAUGCAUAGAUAUCACGCAGAACUCCGAUUGCGAAGGCAGCAUACCGGCGCCCGACUGACGCUGAGGCACGAAAGCGUGGGGAUCGAACAGGAUUAGAUACCCGGGUAGUC